AAUAGAUACCCAGGUAGUCCACGCCCUAAACGAUGUCAACUAGUUGUCGGGUCUUAAUUGACUUGGUAACGCAGCUAACGCGUGAAGUUGACCGCCUGGGGAGUACGGUCGCAAGAUUAAAACUCAAAGGAAUUGACGGGGACCCGCACAAGCGGUGGAUGAUGUGGAUUAAUUCGAUGCAACGCGAAAAACCUUACCUACCCUUGACAUGGCAGGAAUCCUGAAGAGAUUUGGGAGUGCUCGAAAGAGAACCUGCACACAGGUGCUGCAUGGCUGUCGUCAGCUCGUGUCGUGAGAUGUUGGGUUAAGUCCCGCAACGAGCGCAACCCUUGUCAUUAGUUGCUACGAAAGGGCACUCUAAUGAGACUGCCGGUGACAAACCGGAGGAAGGUGGGGAUGACGUCAAGUCCUCAUGGCCCUUAUGGGUAGGGCUUCACACGUCAUACAAUGGUACAUACAGAGGGCCGCCAACCCGCGAGGGGGAGCUAAUCCCAGAAAGUGUAUCGUAGUCCGGAUUGGAGU
rnacentral:rRNA from 1 species